UUGGUUGCCGGAGUUGUCACAAGUGAACACAGGUGACCUGGGACGCGCCAAGCCCCGCUGACAACAUCACAGCCAGCGGAAAUAAAAAUAAUUAGCAGCUGGAGUGCCAGUGGAGUGUAUCAUCCAGUUUUCUGAAAUUAUUAAUGACACAUAAUGCCUUUUUUUUGUUGCGUAGUUUGUGUUUGAGGAUACGAGCGAUUCCACUGACCGCAUUGGAGCGCACUGGUGGAAGACCCACGUAGUUUCCAGAACCUGCACUCCCAACUUCGUAUCAUCUGACCUUCAGAGCGUUAGCUGAUCAUGCAUUGUGCGCCAUAGUUUGCACUUUGGAAAUCGAUUUCACGGUCAUUCAGCUCCAGCGUUCACGGACUGCUGGAUAAAAAGCUGCAGUACACCAACUACCCCUGGAAGAUUAAGUUCACGGCUACUUGGAUUAGUGUCUACAUGGAAGUGGUGGUGACAGGGUUAAUUUACUACAGGUAAACACAGGCAUCUAGAGAUGGGGUCAGUGGUGCCUGUAAUCAGAUGAGAAAGCAGCCGGUUGUGUGUGUACACGCCCUGCCCUGGUUCCUAGAAGUCUGGUAUGGGCAAUUCCACAGUAACGGACUUAUGCUUUGACUCAGUUUCACUUGUAAAUUGUUUGGUAUCCACUUUAAUUUUAUUUCAAAGUUGAACAAACAUUGCAACUCUAUAAACAAGGACUACUUUGAAACAUUUAUACAGAAAAUGGCACAAAAACACAUUUGCUUUGAGAAUUGUGCUGAUGCAAAUUUGCUAACGGAAUUAAAUUCUCUUUUUUUAUGUGACCACGGUUUCAAGAAAGCUGUUAAAAAUGGGAGCAGAUACUGUAUUUAAGAUUUGAAAGAUCUCUGCAGAAAGAAUGAGGUAUCAGCUAUGACAUUACACACAGAGUUUGAAAUUAUUAUCUUUUGGUUAUUGAACUAUAGUAGGUGAAGUGGAUUUACAUCCAGUAAUGAAUUAUGCUAAUGGUAUUGCAUCAUGGGUCCCUGAUCUGUACUAUACAGAAAUGCACAAUUAUGGAUUUCAUAUUUUCUUCUUGGUGAUCCUGACUAGGUACACAAAGGUAUAAAUAUGCAAUAUCCUUCUUUUGCAUAUUUGGGUAUUAUUCUACACACUGGCUAUUACCACUGGUUGGUCCGAAACAGACCAAAUCUGAACCAAUCGUAGAAGUCUGUUUCACUUUACAGCACAUUAUCGUAAAGUAGAUAUUUUCAGAAUGGACACUACUUCUCUUUACUGUGCUGUACUUUUCUUUACUGUUCUGUACUGUCCAAACUUGUGAAACAUAAGUAUUUCUCUACACUUGUGUUAUCUGCUAACCAUGUUUAUGUGACCAAUAACAAUUGAUUUGACAUGUCUAUUUGGUUCAGAUGUGGUCCGGCCAGGGUGGACUGACAAAAAUGUCAACUACUUUUCAACGUCUGGUUUUCCGGUGCUCAGUGGGUGAGGAUGCUGGUUACAGUAAAUGGAAAGCGGGUAGGUGUCAGUAAGAUACUGGAGAGGGGACAUUUACUAGAGAGCGGGGUCGUCCAGACUCUUUUCAGUCUUGCUUUGACCACAGGAAGAGAAAGAAAACAGUUAUAAACUGAACAUAACGAUAUGCCAGUUGAAAGGAGGACAGUAGCAGGUGAUCCAACUGCGGUUUGACUACUAUAAUUUCCAGUAAUUGCAGUAAUUCUGUUACAGAUUUGAGUUUUAAUCACUUCAAGUUUGUUUAAAGUUUAUGAAUAAUUAUCAGUAAAAACAGUAAUUGGUCGGUGUACCACUACUUGUUACUUAUGUGAACUUUCAUGAAUCCUUCAGCAUGAGGGAGAGCGAUUUAGAAACUAUCUUAAAUGGAAAAUAGGAUGGAAAAUGGUUGGAAAAUGUAUAUAUGGCCAGUUUGUGUUUGUGCCUCUUGUGUUUUGAUCAGCUUAUACAUAUGACCAAAGGAUCAGGGUUGGUGUUCUGUUAAAGAAAACAACAUUCAUAAAUGGAGUGUUAUGCAGCCCUUAUGCACCAACUCCUCUGUAAAGUACAAAUUUAACAGGGGACAUGAAUAGCUAUGUUAGCCAAAUGAUGCCACGUACAGAGAGAAGUACAAAUUUAACAGGGGACAUGAAUAGCUAUGUUAGCCAAAUGAUGCCACGUACAGAGAGAAGUACAAAUUUAACAGGGGACAUGAAUAGCUAUGUUAGCCAAAUGAUGCCACGUACAGAGAGAAGUACAGUAAUUAGCUAGCAUGUACAGGAUUCACAAAUCAACAGAUAAAAAGUUCAUAAAUGAAUGAAAUGCAUAAAUAUCACCAAUCUACUGGUAGAGGACUAUAAUAUCAGUAAUCUACUGGUAGAGGACUAUAAUAUCAGUAAUCUACUGGUAGAGGACUAUAAUAUCAGUAAUCUACUGGUAGAGGACUAUAAUAUCAGU